rnacentral:SRP_RNA from 1 species
UCGUGCUAGAUGGGGAGCCAGCGGUGCCCUGUAACCUGCAAUCCGCUACAGCAGGAUUGAAUUCCCCCUAUAGACUUUAGUCUGUUGGGCCUGCCUGGUCAAAGUGGUAUUGAGAACUGGGUCCCAUGCAGCAGAAACUCAUGAACUCCGUCAGAUCCGGAAGGAAGCAGCGGUAAGUGAUCACUUUUAAGUGCCGUGGAACAACCUGGUUUGAGCUAACUAGGUCAACAGUGGGUGCACGA